UUAGGAAUCAUCUGCAAUGCGCGCAAGCGUGACAGUUUGAGCCAGAGUGCUUCUCAUUGAGAAGCUUUUGCCAAAUGUAAAAAGUUUGGAGAAUAAGGACUGGGCAAGACUAGUGCCAGCCGCCGCGGUAAUACUAGCGGUCCAAGUCGCAGCCACAUUUAUUGGGUCUAAACAUCCGUAGCUUGCUAAGAAAGUUUCCUGUGAAAUCCAUCUGCUUAACAGAUGGGCGUGCAAGAAAUACUACUUGGCUAGAGACUGGAAGACAUAGAAAGUACGUUCAAAGUAGCGGUAAAAUGUGUUGAUCUUGGACGGACUCACAAUAGCGAAGGCAUUCUAUGAGGACAGUUCUGACAGUAAGGGAUGAAGGCUAGGGGCGCAAAGUGGAUUAGAUACCCCUGUAGUCCCUGAGCGGGCUGGCAAGGCGCAU
rnacentral:rRNA from 1 species